GUUUUUUUCCCCCACAGCACAUGCACACACGUAUCAUAUUGUUUGUAUUCUUAAUUUGAAGAAAGUGACGCUUCCCAAAUGCUCAAAAGCAGCUCAUCUUCUAAAAUUCCAAUCAAGAAUCCAAUUUAUUUAUUCAAUACAACUAAACACAUGCAUCUAAGAUUUACGACAAAAGAAUUUUCUUUUUAACUACAAAUCACUAAAAUAAGAUAGUAUCAGAUUACCCUUUUU
rnacentral:misc_RNA from 1 species